rnacentral:rRNA from 1 species
UACAGAGGUCUCGAGCGUUGUUCGGAUUCAUUGGGCGUAAAGGGCGCGUAGGCUGCGGGGCAAGUCGGGUGUGAAAUCUCAGAGCUCAACUCUGAAACUGCACUCGAUACUGCUUUGCUUGAGGACUGGAGAGGAGAUUGGAAUUCACGGUGUAGCAGUGAAAUGCGUAGAUAUCGUGAGGAAGCCCACUGGCGAAGGCGGAUCUCUGGACAGUUCCUGACGCUGAGGCGCGAAGGCCAGGGGAGCAA